GAGUCCAGGAGUAUAGGUAAAAACACGGGAUUUCUUAGGGGCGAAACUCUCAGGGACACAGAACAGCUCGCUAUGUUAAGACGCUAAUGAUCAGACUAGGGUUAGACUCACAAGAAAGCACUUGAAUACACAGAAUCAAUUAGACAAGACUAGGUACAGCUGGUAACCAGGAGGAUUCUACAGGAGCUACCCCAUGCUGAGGACACGUGAGCUGACAAUGCCUGGGGCAAAUAAUAUUGAUUGCCGUUUUGAGCUUCAUUAAAGUUUACUGACCUCAAAAAAGGUGAUUUGGAGCCCUGUCACUGAGAAUGGCUUCCAGAUCCUGAAGACCAACCUCAUAACUCAUCCCCCAAGUUUGACCAGUAUUUCAUUGUGCAGACGGAGUUCAGCUGAGUAGAAUACUCAAUGAUGUACUUAAGUUGGAUGGGAUGCUGCAGUAGAGAAGAAAGCCGUGUCCUCCUUCCAUGUGCUUGGCUGAGGAGCCAAUGGUGCGACGCUACCAUCUGUGGGCUUAUGACUGAACGGCAAAAUUAC